rnacentral:rRNA from 1 species
GGANUUGCNAAUGGGCGAAGCCUGAUGCAGCGACGCCGCGUGGGGGAUGAAGCUUUUCGGAGUGUAAACCCCUUUCGACCCGGACGAAUGCCCCGCAAGGGGACUGACGGUACGGGUAUAAGAAGCCCCGGCUAACUACGUGCCAGCAGCCGCGGUAAGACGUGGGGGGCCAGCGUUGCUCGGAAUUACUGGGUGUAAAGGGUCAGUAGGCGGUGUGGCAAGUCGGGAGUGAAAUCUCUGGGCUUAACUCAGAGACUGCUUCCGAAACUGCUGUGCUUGAGUGUGGGAGAGGCGCGUGGAAUUGCAGGUGUAGCGGUGAAAUGCGUAGAUAUCUGCAGGAACACCCGUGGCGAAAGCGGCGCGCUGGACCACAACUGACGCUGAAUGACGAAAGCUAGGGGAGCAAACAGGAUUAGAUACCCUGGUAGUCCUAGCCCUAAACGAUCAGGACUUGGGGUGCCACCCGUUCGGGUGUCGUCCCGGAGCUAACGCGUUAAGUCCUGCACCUGGGGAGUACGGUCGCAAGACUGAAACUCAAAGAAAUUGACGGA